rnacentral:tRNA from 1 species
GGGUCAGUAGCUCAGUCAGGUAGAGCGUCGGGCUUUUAACCCGAAGGGCGGGGGUUCAAAUCCCCCCUGACCCGCCA